rnacentral:pre_miRNA from 11 species
UUUUAUUAAUUUGAAGGAAGAAAAUAGUCCUAUCUUGAUAGAAGAGAAACAACUGAAAGACCCCCAGAGUGGGGAGACCCUCACUCAAGUCUCGGGAUAAGCUGACACCCCAAUAAUUCAAGAGAGACC